rnacentral:misc_RNA from 1 species
GAUGAAGAACGUAGCGAAAUGCGAUAAGUAAUGUGAAUUGCAGAAUUCAGUGAAUCAUCGAAUCUUUGAACGCACAUUGCGCCCUCUGGUAUUCCGGGGGGCAUGCCUGUUCGAGCGUCAUUAUAACCACUCAAGCUCUCGCUUGGUAUUGGGGUUCGCGGUUCCGCGGCCCCUAAAAUCAGUGGCGGUGCCUGUCGGCUCUACGCGUAGUAAUACUCCUCGCGAUUGAGUCCGGUAGGUCUACUUGCCAGCAACCACCAAUUUUUACAGGUUGACCUCGGAUCAGGUAGGGAUACCCGCUGAACUUAAGCAUAUCAAUAAGCGGAGGA